ensembl:lncRNA
AACGGCAAGCUACAACACCAUCGUAGAGAGAACAAGGGGAUACUUAAUGCCAGAACAGAUGUCUAUGGAGUCACCUAUUCCCUACCCAGGGAACUGAGCCUCUGGCACGCAGGAAGCGCAUGUACAGCUAGGAUAAUCGCACAGCAGCUCUGCUCUCCUCCCCCCUCCUCCCUCCAAAUCUCCCCCUUGAGACACGUACUAGCAAGUGAGCCACCGCACGGCCGCAGCCUCCGUGAGGGCUGGCGGGCCCGCAGGGGGUGCCAGGCCUGCCCGCACCUCGCCAAACAGCUGCCAUCAGAGGGCACUCCCUGCUCAGCAGCUCCCAGCGCCAGCCCGGGGGCAGGAGCCCCGCCCGACAGCCGCCUCGCCUCGCCUCCCUCCCCCCCGCCCGCUCUCGCGGAGGCAGCCCCAGCCAAAACUGCGCACCGCCCGCCCGCCAGAGCGGGCUGCGCAGGGGCCCGGGGCGGGGGGACGGGGCCCCCAGGAGAGCGGAGAAGAAGCAGCAGCCCCGCGCAGGGGCCGCCCCCCUCCCGCGUCUCCCGGGGAGACCGCAGCCAGGCCGCCCCCGCGCUGCCGGGGAGGCCGCCCCCACCGCCGCCACCGUCUCCAAGGGCUACCGCCUCCCCCCAGGUCCCCCCCCGCAGCUCUUACCUUCCACGACGCCGCAGAGGAAGCGGCGGGAGCCCAGCGCGGUCUCCGUCUCUGUGUCGGUCUCCUCCCCCCCCGGGAGCGGCGGCGCGGCAGCGCCCGGCGGCUCUAAGGGGGCGCCGGGCACCCCGGCCGCGUUGGGGCUGCCCUGGGGCUCCUCCAGGGCCGCCUGCCCCUCCUUCUGCACCAUCCUGCCGCCCGCCGCCAGGACCCCCACUCGCCGCGCCGGGCCGGGCCAAACCGAGCGCCCCUUCCCCCCGCCGCCCCUUUGUCUCCGCCGCUCCGGGCCGCCGCCGCCGCCGCCGCUUCCUGUUUACGGGGCCCUGCGCCUGCGCGGCGAACCGGCCCCAACCGGUCGGCACCGCUCCGCCCGCAGCCCGGGGACACGCAGAGGCACCGCGGCGGGGCCGAGCUGCCGCCGCUGCGCGGAAGGACGACGCGGGCCGCCGCGGCCUGGCGCCCGCGCUGCCGAGACCGCGCGGCUCGAGCGGGAACAACGGACUGAGGCGAGGGAGUUACCUCAGGCAACGGGCAGGCGGCGGAGGGGGGGGAGCCCGCCCGCGGCGCAUGCGCGAAACGCGGAAGGGCGCCCACUGCGCGUGCUCGGAAGGCCCGCGGGGGGAGGGGCGAGGCCGCGGCGCCUCAGGGCGCCUGCGCGCAGUGCUAGGCCGUGCCCACUGCGCGUGCGUGAGAGGCCCCGGGGAAGGGGAGAGGCGGCAGUGCGGCAACACGCAGGGACAAGCCAGGAGCUUAUGCCGAGAGCCAGAUGGGACCAUGCGCAGCUGCAGAGAGGGGCCAGGGGCAACGGGUCUCAGACUGAGCGUGAGUCAGAGACCACAGGGCUGCGAAGAAGACAUCCUGUGAGGCUGAAGAAGACAUCCUGUGAGGCUGUGUAAACAGGAGCGUCAGCCCGAGGAGCAAAUGAGGUAAUCCUCCCACCCAGCCCAGCGCAGGGGAGGCCAACCAGUACUACCCAGCAAGACACUGGCGAGCGAUGGGCAAAACUCUGCUGGAAGCCCCAGCCUCUGAGGAGGGACUGGAGAAGGCUGUGGACAUCAUGGCAGCCUAGUCACAUUUUGACCCAGACUGAACAAAAUGAAUGAAAACUCCAGUUAACACCAUGUCCUUGCUAUCCAAAUCCCAUUCUCUCCUACCCACUUCACUCUCAGCUCUCCCCAAAUCCUCCCUUGCAUGUGAUUUUACUGUCACCCUAAGUAGAACUAGCCAGAUUGUAUUAAUAUGCAAUAAGGCUUUACUGAAGGGUUAGAGAGGAGAAAAACACAAAGAAUUUAGGUGGAAAGCACACAUACAUUCUCAUACUACCAUACACAGACCUGCACAGUUGGCUGGUCAUAGGUCAGAAGGGUCCUUGAAGCAGGUACUGCGCUCACAGCUUUGAUGAUCCUACAAGAAUCAAUUCCCCUGGUAGUGGGAUCUCAUCCUUUUAUACAACAUUUGUAUUUCUAGGCAGUGUUCAGGCUUUAGACAGCAUGAUGCUGGAGCAAGUCACUGCCCCAGGCUGCAUCAGCAGCCUUAUCCUCUUGCUCAGCCCUUUUCUGGCUUUGUUACUACUUCUUUUUCUUUGAGAGCUAGGAAAAAUUGCUUGAAGCAAAACAAGGCUGCACUUUUCUGCUGACCACUAACUGACCACUCAUUCACAUCCCUAAAGCCCCUGUUCUCAGCCUAGACCCAUCUCUUUAAGGUCAUUGCUGUUAUCCCACCCUUAAAUGCCAUAUCCUAACAACGGACACCUGGUCCCAAGCUCUGGUUCACACAGCAGCUUCUUAUAACAAACUGGUAACAAAGCUGACAGCCCCCAGUCCUAGAGGGAUGUGACCCAGCAGAGGGGCUGAUCCAACCCUCC